ACUCCUACGGGAGGCAGCAGUGGGAAUAUUGCGCAAUGGGCGAAAGCCUGACGCAGCCAUGCCGCGUGUGUGAAGAAGGCCUUCGGGUUGUAAAGCACUUUCAAUUGGGAAGAAAGCUGCUGCCUAAUAAGCAUCAGCUGUGACAUUACCUUUAGAAGAAGCACCGGCUAACUCCGUGCCAGCAGCCGCGGUAAUACGGAGGGUGCGAGCGUUAAUCGGAAUUACUGGGCGUAAAGCGCGCGUAGGCGGCCAUUUAAGUCAAAUGUGAAAUCCCCGCAGCUUAACUUAGGGAAUUGGCAUUGCUGCAUACUGGGAUGGCUAGAGUAUGGGAGAGGAUGGUAGAAUUCCAGGUGUAGCGGUGAAAUGCGUAGAGAUCUGGAGGAAUACCGAUGGCGAAGGCAGCCAUCUGGCCUAAUACUGACGCUGAGGUACGAAAGCAUGGGGAGCAAACAGGAUUAGAUACCCUGGAGGCUCUG
rnacentral:rRNA from 1 species